AUGACUACCGGAUCAUCGGUCUACUCUACCUCAAUUCACCAAUUCGAACUUUAUACAAAAGGUUUUUCCGUACCAGCUCCUUCUACCUAUACCGCAGUUGAAGCACCUAAAGGUGAAUUUGGUGUCUUUCUUGUCAGUAAUGGGAGUAAUCAUCCCUACCAUUGUAAAAUAAGAGCACCUGGCUUUGCCCAUUCACAAGGACUCGAUUCUAUGUCCAAACAUCACAUGCCAGCAGAUGUAGUCACCAUCAUAGGUACUCAAGAUAUUGUGUUUGGAGAGGUAGAUAGAUAG
rnacentral:rRNA from 1 species